rnacentral:lncRNA from 1 species
CCCAAUGCCUCCUUUCUUUUUCCCCUUCAUCCCCAAUGCCCAGAUUUGAUAGAGAUCAGAUCUAAGAGAGAAAGAGAGAGAGAAGAAGAGAAAAAAAAAGGUUCUUCUUCCCUUCUUAGUGAUCUGAUUCAGAUUUUAUCGGACCUGCACAAAAGAGUUCACACAGCAUUCUCCUUCUUCGAGAUCUAGAAGAAGAGAUCUAAGUCCUAGGCUGAGGAGCGAGAUCUGUAAGGUGCUAGCACACUGAUGAUCUCGAUGCUCUGAUUAGACAUCUCCAUGUAGAUACCAGUAGAGGUCGGGCACAUGUACGGCU